CCCGAUAGCUCAGUGGUAGAGCACCAUGUUGGUAAGAUGGAGGUCCGGGAUCGAUUACCGGUCGGGCUC
rnacentral:tRNA from 1 species